rnacentral:rRNA from 1 species
AACUCUUCGGAGUUAGUGGCGGACGGGUGAGUAACACGUGGGAACGUGCCUUUUGGUUCGGAAUAACUCAGGGAAACUUGUGCUAAUACCGAAUGUGCCCUUCGGGGGAAAGAUUUAUCGCCAUUAGAGCGGCCCGCGUCUGAUUAGCUAGUUGGUGAGGUAAAGGCUCACCAAGGCGACGAUCAGUAGCUGGUCUGAGAGGAUGAUCAGCCACAUUGGGACUGAGACACGGCCCAAACUCCUACGGGAGGCAGCAGUGGGGAAUCUUGCGCAAUGGGCGAAAGCCUGACGCAGCCAUGCCGCGUGAAUGAUGAAGGUCUUAGGAUUGUAAAAUUCUUUCAGUAGGGACGAUAAUGACGGUACCUACAGAAGAAGCCCCGGCUAACUUCGUGCCAGCAGCCGCGGUAAUACGAAGGGGGCUAGCGUUGCUCGGAAUUACUGGGCGUAAAGGGAGCGUAGGCGGACAUUUAAGUCAGGGGUGAAAUCCCGGGGCUCAACCUCGGAAUUGCCUUUGAUACUGGGUGUCUUGAGUAUGAGAGAGGUAUGUGGAACUCCGAGUGUAGAGGUGAAAUUCGUAGAUAUUCGGAAGAACACCAGUGGCGAAGGCGACAUACUGGCUCAUUACUGACGCUGAGGCUCGAAAGCGUGGGGAGCAAACAGGAUUAGAUACCCUGGUAGUCCACGCCGUAAACGAUGAUUGCUAGUUGUCGGGAUGCAUGCAUUUCGGUGACGCAGCUAACGCAUUAAGCAAUCCGCCUGGGGAGUACGGUCGCAAGAUUAAAACUCAAAGGAAUUGACGGGGGCCCGC